GAAUUCGCCCUUAGAGUUUGAUCCUGGCUCAGGACGAACGCUGGCGGCGCGCCUAACACAUGCAAGUCGAACGAGCGAGAGAGAGCUUGCUUUCUCGAGCGAGUGGCGAACGGGUGAGUAACGCGUGAGGAACCUGCCUCAAAGAGGGGGACAACAGUUGGAAACGACUGCUAAUACCGCAUAAGCCCACGGCUCGGCAUCGAGCAGAGGGAAAAGGAGCAAUCCGCUUUGAGAUGGCCUCGCGUCCGAUUAGCUAGUUGGUGAGGUAACGGCCCACCAAGGCAACGAUCGGUAGCCGGACUGAGAGGUUGAACGGCCACAUUGGGACUGAGACACGGCCCAGACUCCUACGGGAGGCAGCAGUGGGGAAUAUUGCACAAUGGGGGAAACCCUGAUGCAGCGACGCCGCGUGGAGGAAGAAGGUCUUCGGAUUGUAAACUCCUGUUGUUGAGGAAGAUAAUGACGGUACUCAACAAGGAAGUGACGGCUAACUACGUGCCAGCAGCCGCGGUAAAACGUAGGUCACAAGCGUUGUCCGGAAUUACUGGGUGUAAAGGGAGCGCAGGCGGGAAGACAAGUUGGAAGUGAAAUCCAUGGGCUCAACCCAUGAACUGCUUUCAAAACUGUUUUUCUUGAGUAGUGCAGAGGUAGGCGGAAUUCCCGGUGUAGCGGUGGAAUGCGUAGAUAUCGGGAGGAACACCAGUGGCGAAGGCGGCCUACUGGGCACCAACUGACGCUGAGGCUCGAAAGUGUGGGUAGCAAACAGGAUUAGAUACCCUGGUAGUCCACACUGUAAACGAUGAUUACUAGGUGUUGGAGGAUUGACCCCUUCAGUGCCGCAGUUAACACAAUAAGUAAUCCACCUGGGGAGUACGACCGCAAGGUUGAAACUCAAAGGAAUUGACGGGGGCCCGCACAAGCAGUGGAGUAUGUGGUUUAAUUCGAAGCAACGCGAAGAACCUUACCAAGUCUUGACAUCCCUCUGACCGUUCCUUAACCGGAACUUUCCUUCGGGACAGGGGAGACAGGUGGUGCAUGGUUGUCGUCAGCUCGUGUCGUGAGAUGUUGGGUUAAGUCCCGCAACGAGCGCAACCCCCGCCGCGUGUUGCCAUCGGGUGAUGCCGGGAACCCACGCGGGACCGCCGCCGUCAAGGCGGAGGAGGGCGGGGACGACGUCAAGUCAUCAUGCCCCUUAUGCCCUGGGCUGCACACGUGCUACAAUGGCCGGUACAGAGGGAUGCCACCCCGCGAGGGGGAGCGGAUCCCGGAAAGCCGGCCCCAGUUCGGAUUGGGGGCUGCAACCCGCCCCCAUGAAGUCGGAGUUGCUAGUAAUCGCGGAUCAGCAUGCCGCGGUGAAUGCGUUCCCGGGCCUUGCACUCACCGCCCGUCA
rnacentral:rRNA from 1 species